UUUGGGAGGGGUUAAUACUUCCGGAAACUCUGUCGUGCUGGGGAUAGAGCAUUGCAAUUAUUGCUCUUCAACGAGGAAUCCCUAGUAAGCGCAAGUCAUCAGCUUGCGUUGAUUACGUCCCUGCCCUUUGUACACACCGCCCGUCGCUACUACCGAUUGAAUGGUUCAGUGAGGCUUUCGGACUGGCCCAGGGAGGUCGGCAACGACCCCAGGGCGGAAAGUUAUCCAAACUCGAUCAUUUAGAGGAAGUAAAAGUCGUAACAAGGUCUCCGUUGGUGAACCAGCGAGGGAUCAUU
rnacentral:rRNA from 1 species